AGAGUUUGAUCAUGGCUCAGAAUGAACGUUGGCGGCGUGGAUUAGGCAUGCGAGUCGAGCGAGAACCGUAGCAAUACGGGGACAGCGGCGAAAGGGACAGUAACGGGUAGAUUAUCUGCCCUCAGGUUUGGGAUAGCUGCGGGAAACUGCAAGUAAUACCAAAUAACAUCUCCGGAUCAAAGGUGUGAUUCCGCCUGAGGAUGAGUCUGCCUCCUAUUAGCUUGUUGGUGGGGUAAUGGCCUACCAAGGCAUUGAUGGGUAGCGGGUGUGAGAGCACGACCCGCGUCAUUGGGACUGAGACACUGCCCAGACACCUACGGGUGGCUGCAGUCGAGAAUCUUCGGCAAUGGACGCAAGUCUGACCGAGCGACGCCGCGUGUGGGAUGAAGGCCUUCGGGUUGUAAACCACUGUCAGAGGGGAUGAAAUGCAGGUGGGUACUCCCAUUUGUUCGACAUAGCCUCAGAGGAAGUACGGGCUAAGUUCGUGCCAGCAGCCGCGGUAAGACGAACCGUACGAACGUUAUUCGGAAUUACUGGGCUUAAAGGGUGCGUAGGCGGCGCGGAAAGUA
rnacentral:rRNA from 1 species